GGGACUUUCUUCCGUAUUUCCUAAUAACCCCAUGUAGAAAUAGACAAACACCAAAACUCGUGGAAUUCUGUCAGAUAAAACCCUAAGUCUAGGUGUUGAUUGCAUUUGGAUCCUUUUUCAUGAUUAGUUGAUGGUUAAAUGUGAGCAUUAAGGACCGUCAACAAGCUCUCCCAAGCUUAACCUUUGCUCAUCCCUGAGCAAAGAUGGACUCAAGAGUUUCUGCAGUGGUUUUAUGCCUUAAGGAUACACAUGCGUUCAAACAAGAUCUCAUCUCUGAGUUAGGGUAAACUGUUAAUAUUUAAACUUACUCAUUUUACCUUUCACCAUGGGGCUUGUAACCGUCACUUAUGUCUUGAGCAGUUAAAAGAUAGAACGGUCUAGUCAAGCGCCAUGUCUCUUGUUCUUCGAUUAACUAUAGCUCUGGAGUUUUUGCAAAUUUUUAAAUAAAACUCAGAGAUUCCUUGUAUGACUCUCUCCGGUCUCUCAUUUGUGGUAUUUCUGGAUCCUUACCAUGGCAGUAAAGGUGUAUGCCUUCUCUCAAAGUAUGUGGUAUUUUUGGUAUGAGGCAUAGUGACAUUGCCUUCUCUCUCACCCUACUCUAAUAAGAAUUUUGAUAUCUGGAGCUCAUAGGUGGGAGAUAAAGUAUACAUACUUACAAGACAUUUAUUGCAUAGUCAAACCAUGGAUCUAGAUAAACAAGUCAAUAAGUCAAAUCAAGAUGUGCAUUUGUGGUGAAUAAAUGGUGAUAAUGGUGAUGAUGGUGAUAACAAUGGUCAAAAGUCUAAUUCUACUUAUGCUCUUUUGAGGGGAUACAUACCUUUCUUGCUCUUUUGAAACUUUUUGAGGAGAAUGAGAUGCUCUAUAUUUUCUUUUUCUUUCCUCUCAGGUGGGUAUCUUGUACCCCUAAUUCUAAUGUCGGACACUUGUCCAUUUUUACCUCUCGUCUCACUUUUUCUUUUCUUUCGAGGUUCCGGGCACUUGCCCCUUUUUGUUUCCUCGUAUCUUUUUUUCUCUCUCUUUUUUUAGAGCACUCAUCUCUUGAAAUAAAGUAGCAAGUGGUAGUAACCAAGAUAACUUGAGCAUUUAUUUCACAGGGGAAAAACAGAAAUGUUUUUGGCUAUUCUCUCCCGGAUUAGGAGUAGAAUAUUUUUGGGUUGUUGUGGAGAUAGAAAUGAGUGGAGGUAUGUGAAUGCGUACUUCCGGAGUAGAAGCAACAUGUGUGAGUGAACGUGCAAGUGAAUCUUGAUUUAACCACAUGACAAGCUCCUAAGUGUCUACACAGCUUGACCACACUCAAUGCUCAUAAGCAGUAGAAAGUAAAUGUAUGGUUCAUAGUCUAAUAAGCAUGUAUAUAUGGCUGUGGUAGGAUUUUAAACUCUCAUCAUACAGGAACUCAUCAUGCAAUAUUUUAGAGACUUUCAAAGAUAAAAUUCUCUAGAAUUCUAGCAUCUAUAGGAACAGAUAAACAGCAGCUCAACCUUCCCAUAUCGUAUCCGUUAACGACUUAGACUUUAGAUCAAGUACUCUCCCCACAAGUUCAGGUUUAGAGCAAAUCUUAAUUAAUACCAGUCAUGCCUAAACUUGAGAGAGAUUUCAAUUUUGAGAACUAGUCAUGGCAGAGCAACUAUUCAUCAUUUCCAUGUGAGAGCUUAUCAUGAGGGUUCAUAGCAAACUUUAUUUAUUUAUUUAUUUAUUUAUUUAUUUAGCAACUAAGCAAAGAUAUAUAUAUAUAUAUAAGCACAAAAUCUUUAUUUGGGUUUUUAUGAUUAUGCAUCUUUUUAUUAUUUGAGUAAAAUAUAAACGCGAGUAUAAACACUUAGCUAGAAAAAUGGGAGUGCUCUCCCCCAAGCUGGAUUUUGACGUAAUUCCUUGUGAUGUAGCUAGCAGGUGGCGGAGGUGUAUUUGAAUGUCGGCAGUACCCUGACAGCGAUUAGGAUGUCCUCCGUCUGCUAGUCUUCUUUGAUCCUUGAAUUCUGUGGAGCUCAAAUAGACAACAAAGCUUUGUGGAACUAGGUAAGUGUUAGCAUUUAUCAUGUUGAGCCUCCUAAAUAAAUGUUACUCUCUUUAGUAGGAUCAUUUAUUUUUAUAUUUUUUUCAAGAUGAUAUGAACCUGAUUAACUAAGCGAACUAUUUUAAAUAAUUGAAAGGAAAA
rnacentral:lncRNA from 1 species